UACGAAGGGAGCUAGCGUUGUUCGGAAUCACUGGGCGUAAAGCGCACGUAGGCGGAUGUGUCAGUCAGGGGUGAAAUCCCGGAGCUCAACUUCGGAACUGCCUUUGAUACAGCACGUCUUGAGUCCGAUAGAGGUGGGUGGAAUUCCUAGUGUAGAGGUGAAAUUCGUAGAUAUUAGGAAGAACACCGGUGGCGAAGGCGGCCCACUGGAUCGGUACUGACGCUGAGGUGCGAAAGCGUGGGUAGCAAACAGG
rnacentral:rRNA from 1 species